rnacentral:rRNA from 1 species
CAUUAUUCAUAAAUUAAUGUUUUUAAUAAUUAAAAGUUCAUUAAAUUUUAAUAUCACCCCAAUAAAAUAUUAUUAACUAUUAUAACAAAAAAAAUCUAUACAAUUAUAAUAAUCUAAAUAUAAAGAUUUAUAGGGUCUUCUCGUCUUUUAAAUAAAUUUUAGCUUUUUGACUAAAAAAUAAAAUUCUAAUAUAAAUUUUUAUGAAACAGUUAAUAUCUCGU